UACGGGGGGGGCAAGCGUUGUUCGGAAUUACUGGGCGUAAGGGCUCGUAGGUGGCCAACUAAGUCAUACGUGAAAUCCCUCGGCUUAACCGGGGAACUGCGUCUGAUACUGGAUGGCUUGAGUUUGGGAGAGGGAUGCGGAAUUCCAGGUGUAGCGGUGAAAUGCGUAGAUAUCUGGAGGAACACCGGUGGCGAAGGCGGCAUCCUGGACCAAUACUGACACUGAGGAGCGAAAGCCAGGGGAGCAAACGGG
rnacentral:rRNA from 1 species